rnacentral:tRNA from 1 species
GGGGCUGUGGCGCAGCUGGGAGCGCGUCUGACUGGCAGUCAGAAGGUCAGGGGUUCGAACCCCCUCAGCUCCACCA